CCUACGGGAGGCAGCAGUGAGGAAUAUUGGUCAAUGGACGAGAGUCUGAACCAGCCAAGUAGCGUGAAGGAUGACUGCCCUAUGGGUUGUAAACUUCUUUUAUAUGGGAAUAAAAUGUUCCACGUGUGGGAUUUUGUAUGUACCAUAUGAAUAAGGAUCGGCUAACUCCGUGCCAGCAGCCGCGGUAAUACGGAGGAUCCGAGCGUUAUCCGGAUUUAUUGGGUUUAAAGGGAGCGUAGGUGGAUUGUUAAGUCAGUUGUGAAAGUUUGCGGCUCGACCGUAAAAUUGCAGUUGAAACUGGCAGUCUUGAGUACAGUAGAGGUGGGCGGAAUUCGUGGUGUAGCGGUGAAAUGCUUAGAUAUCACGAAGAACUCCGAUUGCGAAGGCAGUUCACUGGACUGCAACUGACACUGAGGCUCGAAAGUGUGGGUAUCAAACAGGAUUAGAUACCCCUGUAGUC
rnacentral:rRNA from 1 species